rnacentral:rRNA from 1 species
GGGAUAACCCCGGGAAACUGGGGAUAAUACCGGAUAAAUCACAAGUACUGGAAGGUUUUGUGGUUGAAACUUCCGGGGCUUUUGGAUGGGUCUGCGGCUGAUUAGGUUGUUGCCGGUGUAACGUACCGUCAAGCCUGUAAUCAGUACGGGUUGUGGGAGCAAGAGCCCGGAGAUGGAUUCUGAGACACGAAUCCAGGCCCUACGGGGCGCAGCAGGCGCGAAAACUCUACAAUGCAGGCAACUGCGAUAGGGGAACAUCGAGUGGCGUCCAUAUUGGAUGUCUGUCCUCCCGCCUAAAAAGCGGGAGUUAGCAAGGGCCGGGCAAGACCGGUGCCAGCCGCCGCGGUAAUACCGGCGGCUCGAGUGGUGGCCGAUAUUAUCGAGUCUAAAGGGUCCGUAGCCGGCUUUGCAAGUCUCUCGGGAAAUCCAGCGGCUUAACCGUUGGUCGUCCGGGGGGUACUACAUUGCUUGGGACUGGGAGAGGUAGGAGGUACUCAGGGGGUAGGAGUGAAAUCCUGUAAUCCUUUGGGGACCACCGGUGGCGAAGGCGUCCUACCAGAACAGGUCCGACGGUGAGGGACGAAAGCUAGGGGCACGAACCGGAUUAGAUACCCGGGUAGUCCUAGCCGUAAACGAUGCUCGCUAGGUGUCACAACAGUCGUGAACUGUUGUGGUGCCGUAGGGAAGCCGUGAAGCGAGCCACUUGGGAAGUACGACCGCAAGGUUGAAACUUAA